rnacentral:rRNA from 1 species
UACGAAGGUGGCAAGCGUUGUUCGGAUUUACUGGGCGUAAAGAGUGCGUAGGCGGUUUGAUAAGUCAGAAGUGAAAGCCCAGGGCUCAACCUUGGAAUUGCUUUUGAAACUGUCUUACUUGAAUCCGGUAGAGGUUGGCGGAAUUCCCAGUGUAGAGGUGAAAUUCGCAGAUAUUGGGAGGAACACCAGUGGCGUAAGCGGCCAACUGGACCGGAAUUGACGCUGAGGCACGAAAGCAUGGGUAGCAAACAGG